AGCUGCAAUCACUCUGAAAAUCUCCCCAAGUCUCCUGGAUAUCAUCGGCCUCUGCUUCAGGCGUGACAUGGCUCUGUUAGGCCGAGGUAGUCCCCUGGGACUGCCUACAGCUGAGUGAGUGAUAUUUCCCCCACCAUGGCAGUUUACUAGAAAGGGCUGCUUAGUCACUGUCAGGGUGUGGAGAGUAUUUUGGGAGAACGCAAAGGUUUUUUUCUCUUUUCUUUAAGGGUUGAAUAGUCUUCUGAAAUAGCAUUGGCUACUCUGAAAGCUGCACCAUUUCAUCUGUCAGGGGAAAGUCUUCAAGAAUAGGUGACUGCCUGCUGGCUUGAACUGAAAGCUGGACCUGGGCAUUUGAAGGCUCCUCACCCUUCCCCCUGUUUUUGGAGUGUGUGCUUGUUUACCUUCCCGGCUCCUUGCUGCCAGAACUUCCCAAGGAUACAACCUUGGGUUAAUAACGUGGUGAUGAGACUAUCUGGACUGUGGACGUGACUGAACUCAGGCAAAUCUUCCGAAUAGAUUUGUAAACUCCUGAGGAAGCUUGAGAAAUAACAUCAUCUUAAAAAUAAUAUUUUGAUCCCAGACCAUACCAUGUUUCUGGCUACCCAAAUUGACAAGCUUUACCCAAAUUACCAUACACAGUCACAUACUGUUUGCAACUGACUCCAUUUUUAGCAAUGUCAAAGGGAAGAAGGAAUUCUCAGGACGGUGUAGAAGGAAAUCUAGACGGUCGGCAUUUUGACUGGCUUUGGUCUCCGUGAUGCCCGCUUCCAUCCAAGAUAAGGGCCUGCUAAUUUGCCAGUCUCAGCAAUGGAGCUCGAAAGGGGAAAGAGGGUGACAACUGUGGUUGCCAUCUGUGUGUGUGAGUGUCUUUCAGACUUGUGUCAGAGUGUAUGUUCCCAGCCACAGGCUUUGUGCAAUUACUUUUGCAUAAAGCCACAAGAUAUGGAAAUUCUAGGCUUGGGAAAGUUAUGGAGCCUGAGCAUCAGCUUAUACUGGAAACCUUUUAUAUGCCAACUGGAAGUUUCACUUUUUUCUUUCAUUGUUUGCAGUUUUACCAUGAAAUAAUACACACAAAAGAAUGUGAAUACAAAUAUGAUAAUGAACAUAACAUAUGUAUAUAUACAUUCUGUGUGUCUAUAUAUGUAUAUACUACAGAGCAAAAAGAAAAAUAAAACCCAUGCACAUAGCACAUAGC
ensembl:lncRNA